GAUGAACGCUGGCGGCGUGCCUAAUACAUGCAAGUCGAGCGAACGGACGAGAAGCUUUCUUCUCUGAUGUUAGCGGCGGACGUGUUAGUAACACGUGUAUACCCUACCUAUAAGACUGGGAUAACUUCGUGAAACCGUAGCUAAUACCGUAUAAUAUUUUGAACCGCAUGGUUCAAAAGUGAAAGACGGUCUUGCUGUCACUUAUAGAUGGAUCCGCGCUGCAUUAGCUAGUUGGUAAGGUAACGGCUUACCAAGGCAACGAUGCAUAGCCGACCUGAGAGGGUGAUCGGCCACACUGGAACUGAGACACGGUCCAGACUCCUACGGGAGGCAGCAGUAGGGAAUCUUCGGCAAAGGGCGAAAGCCUGACGGAGCAACGCCGCGUGAGUGAUGAAGGUCUUCGGAUCGUAAAACUCUGUUAUUAGGGAAGAACAUAUGUGUAAGUAACUGUGCACAUCUUGACGGUACCUAAUCAGAAAGCCACGGCUAACUACGUG
rnacentral:rRNA from 1 species